AAAUUUCUUCCACUUCCGCAGCUUAUAAAUAGACAGACUCAACACUCUUCUUUUUCUCUCUUAAAUUUUCACAUUCUGAUCCUCUCAAAAACUUAUUUCUUCUACCUUUCAUCUUCCUCAAACCAAAAAACCCAGUUCAUUUUUUCCUUUCAACAAUGGCAUCAUCCAUGAAAAUCACCAAAGAAUCCAACAAAAACACCAAAGAUUCC
rnacentral:lncRNA from 1 species